rnacentral:lncRNA from 1 species
AGCCUCUGUGUGCCUCAGAUUCCACAUCUGUAAGUCAAGGAAAAGGACAAUAUGUAUAUACUGUACUUCAUGGUACCAUUUUGAAGAUUAAAUGAGUUAACAUAUGAUGAGAAAUAGAGAAAUAGAGCCAUGCCUGGAACCUGAAAAUCACAAGAGACUUGCUUGCUGUUUCAGAAAACUCCCAUCAAUGACCUGGUUGAACGGUAAAUUACCACUCAGGUGAGGUUGUUCCUGCCCUAAAAGCUGCAACCGAGAGUCUAGCAGUGCCCAAAGGCAG